UCCCCAUGUGACCCACUCUCUGUCAGAAUU
rnacentral:piRNA from 1 species